rnacentral:lncRNA from 1 species
ACUGGAUGAUCCUUAAGGUCCCUUCCAACCCAAAGCAUUCUAUGGUUCUGUGAUAAGCCUUGGUGGACUCCAAAUGGUUCCCCAGGGCUGGGGGCACCUGGGUUCAGCCCUGCUCCUGGGGAUUGGGAUUGUCCCCCACCAUCAAGCUGCAUUAAACCCUACAAAACGAAGUCAUGCCAGGAGCAAACCUUAGUUCGCAAUCCCUCAGGGAAAGGAGGGGAACAUCCACGGCAGGUUUCAGCAAAUUAAUGAAGCCUCACGUUCUCAAUUGUUUCCUCCUCCUCACUGAGGAAACGGGGUGAGCCACUGGGGUGGGAACUGCAAACCCCCCUGAGACAGACUUUGCACUGACCCAGCCGAGAUGGCAUUUCUGGGAGCACGGGACAGUUUCUCCCCUUUUUUGCAGCUCCCCAAGACCUGCUCACCCCCCGAGCACCAACCAGCCAUCCAGCACAACGCCAGGCCAGGAGAUGGGCGGCUUUGGCUCCUUCACACCCCAGGCCCACGUUUAAAAAAUACAAUUCAGACAAACCCAGAGCCAAAUAACUCACACCACAUCAGAUCCCAGGGGCUGGGGGCAUCGCCCGUGCCCUGGCUGUGGUUUAUCACUCUGCAGCACCAAAAAUCUGAAUAUCAUGGCUUUUCCCAACCCCAAUUCCGUUCUCUCAAAGCAAAGACCCGUCAAACUGUGGGGAUGCUGGUGAACCUCAGCUCUGAAGACAUUUUACUCGUCCAGUACCAACUGCAGAGGGAAAGGACGUAUUUGGGACUCUAUCUCUACGCCCGGAACCUGAGCGCCAGCACGGCCCACCGGGAGGAGAUGGAGCUCCACACCAAGCACCUGGGGCUGGGCAAGGAGGAGAUCGUGUACGCCCCGUGGAAAAAGGUGCGUGGGUGGGUGAGGGUGGGCAGAGCCACCGCAGCCCCCACCCUGGGCCAGGGGUGACAAGGCUGUCACCAAACUGGGGUCUCGGAGAGAGGUUGUCAAGGUGGU